rnacentral:rRNA from 1 species
CCUACGGGUGGCUGCAGUGGGGGAUAUUGCACAAUGGGGGGAACCCUGAUGCAGCGACGCCGCGUGGGUGAAGAAGCGCCUCGGCGCGUAAAGCCCUGUCAGCAGGGAAGAAAAUGACGGUACCUGAAAAAGAAGCCCCGGCUAACUACGUGCCAGCAGCCGCGGUAAUCGGAAGGGGGCUGGGGUUAUCCGGAAUUACGGGGCGUAAGGGGGGCGUAGGUGGGUUCUUAAGUCAGAGGGGAAAGGCUACGGCCAAACCGUAGUAAGCCUUUGAAACUGGGGAGCUUGAGUGCAGGAGAGGGGAGUGGAAUUCCUAGUGUAGCGGUGAAAUGCGUAGAUAUUAGGAGGAACACCAGUUGCGAAGGCGGCUCUCUGGACUGUAACUGACGCUGAGGCACGAAAGCGUGGGGAGCAAACAGGAUUAGAUACCCUGGUAGUC